rnacentral:rRNA from 1 species
GCAGCAGUAGGGAAUCUUCCGCAAUGGACGAAAGUCUGACGGAGCAACGCCGCGUGAGUGAUGAAGGCUUUCGGGUCGUAAAACUCUGUUGUUAGGGAAGAACAAGUGCUAGUUGAAUAAGCUGGCACCUUGACGGUACCUAACCAGAAAGCCACGGCUAACUACGUGCCAGCAGCCGCGGUAAUACGUAGGUGGCAAGCGUUAUCCGGAAUUAUUGGGCGUAAAGCGCGCGCAGGUGGUUUCUUAAGUCUGAUGUGAAAGCCCACGGCUCAACCGUGGAGGGUCAUUGGAAACUGGGAGACUUGAGUGCAGAAGAGGAAAGUGGAAUUCCAUGUGUAGCGGUGAAAUGCGUAGAGAUAUGGAGGAACACCAGUGGCGAAGGCGACUUUCUGGUCUGUAACUGACACUGAGGCGCGAAAGCGUGGGGAGCAAACAGGAUUAGAUCUGUCUCUUA